rnacentral:rRNA from 1 species
AAACCAACAGGGAUUGCCUUAGUAGCGGCGAGUGAAGCGGCAAAAGCUCAAAUUUGAAAUCUGGCUCUUUCAGAGUCCGAGUUGUAAUUUGAAGAAGGUAUCUUUGGGUCUGGCUCUUGUCUAUGUUUCUUGGAACAGAACGUCACAGAGGGUGAGAAUCCCGUGCGAUGAGAUGAUCCAGGCCUAUGUAAAGUUCCUUCGAAGAGUCGAGUUGUUUGGGAAUGCAGCUCUAAGUGGGUGGUAAAUUCCAUCUAAAGCUAAAUAUUGGCGAGAGACCGAUAGCGAACAAGUACAGUGAUGGAAAGAUGAAAAGAACUUUGAAAAGAGAGUGAAAAAGUACGUGAAAUUGUUGAAAGGGAAGGGCUUGAGAUCAGACUUGGUAUUUUGUAUGUUACUUCUUCGGGGGUGGCCUCUACAGUUUAUCGGGCCAGCAUCAGUUUGGGCGGUAGGAGAAUUGCGUUGGAAUGUGGCACGGCUUCGGUUGUGUGUUAUAGCCUUCGUCGAUACUGCCAGCCUAGACUGAGGACUGCGGUUUAUACCUAGGAUGUUGGCAUAAUGAUCUUAAGUCGCCCGUCUA